rnacentral:misc_RNA from 1 species
UUUCCGUAGGUGAACCUGCGGAGGGAUCAUUAAUGAGUUGUCAUGGGGUUCGAUGCUGGCAGCCGAUUUUUGGAUGCAUGUGCUUGCCCUAACAAUCAUCUUCCAAACACCUGUGCACAUUUUUGAGGGAGUCUUGAGUUGGUUGCCGCUCUUGGGUGAUUUUCUCACAUUCCCUUAAAUCAUUAUACGCUAUUAACAAUGUUGAACGUGCUCUGUGCCGCAAGGCUAUUAAUAUAAUACAACUUUUAACAACGGAUCUCUUGGCUCUC